GGAUACACGAAUCAUUAAAUUUUGGCAUGUUGAAAUUCAUAGUAUUGGUAUAGUAGUUGAUGAUUUCAUUUGAACUAUAGUUUGGUUCGUAAAACCUCAAUCAUGGAUAUUUUUCUCGGUAACUAUUCCUCCUAUUACGCAAAUUACAGUAUUGGUUUAGUAGUUGGUGAUUUGGUUUGAACUGUAGUUUGAUUCGUAAAACCUGAAUCAUGGAUACAUGAAUUACUAAAUUUUGGCAUGUCGAAAUUUAUAGCAUUGGUAUAGAAGUUGAUGAUUUCAUUUGAACUAUAGUUUGGUUCGUAAAACCUGAAUCAUGGUUAUUUUGCUUGGUAACUUUUCUCCUAUUAACUCAAAUUACAGUAUAGGUAUAGUAGUUGAUGAUUUCGUUUACUUAUAGUUUGGUUCAUAAAACCUGAAUCAUGGAUAGUUACUCAGUAACAUUUCCUCUUAUUAACGCAAAUUACAGUAUUGGUUGAACUAUAGUAUGAUUUGGAAAACCUGAAUUGGCUUGAUCAUUAGCUUUAUUUAAGAGUUAAGACUAGGUUCAUUGUUGGUUAAGCUAGUUAAAAAAUGCCAUUUUUUUUGGUUUUGUUUUCUAAUUUCAUUCUAGUG
rnacentral:lncRNA from 1 species